rnacentral:rRNA from 1 species
GAUGAACGCUGGCGGCGUGCCUAACACAUGCAAGUCGAGCGAUCUUCUUCGGAAGAGAGCGGCGGACGGGUGAGUAACGCGUGGGUAACCUGCCCUGUACACACGGAUAACAUACCGAAAGGUAUGCUAAUACGAGAUAAUAUGCUUUUAUCGCAUGGUAGAAGUAUCAAAGCUUUUGCGGUACAGGAUGGACCCGCGUCUGAUUAGCUGGUUGGUAAGGUAACGGCUUACCAAGGCGACGAUCAGUAGCCGACCUGAGAGGGUGAUCGGCCACAUUGGAACUGAGACACGGUCCAAACUCCUACGGGAGGCAGCAGUGGGAAUAUUGCACAAUGGGCGAAAGCCUGAUGCAGCAACGCCGCGUGAGCGAUGAAGGCC